rnacentral:rRNA from 1 species
GACGAACCGUCCUAACGUUGUUCGGAUUCACUGGGCUUAAAGGGCGCGUAGGCGGCUCGGCAAGUCGGGGGGUGAAAUCUUUCAGCUUAACUGGAAAAUAGCCUUCGAUACUGCCGGGCUGGAGGGAGAUAGGGGCACGCGGAACUUCCGGUGGAGCGGUGAAAUGCGUAGAUAUCGGAAGGAACGCCGGUGGCGAAAGCGGCGUGCUGGAUCUCCACUGACGCUGAUGCGCGAAAGCCAGGGGAGCAAACGGG